GGAGAGGUGCCGGAGUGGCUUAUCGGGACGGUCUCGAAAACCGUUGUACGCUUGUCGUACCGGGGGUUCGAAUCCCCCCCUCUCCG
rnacentral:tRNA from 1 species